GGAGAAGACAGAGCAUUUGAUGGGUGACAUAAAUCAUGACUUGCUUUUUCUUCAGCUUGCUAGAAGCUAAUUUUAAAGAUCUUGCACAGUAGCUGGAGGUGGAACAGUUUGGGAAGCAGACAUCCUUAGUCUGAAAUGAGAUCAGCCAACGUGUGAGUCUUUACGGGAUAAAUCAGCUUUUCUGCCAGUUUUCACUCUGUCCUAAACUUCAUGUAACUUCAUUUAUAUAAUGUGAUGUAAUAUAAUGUGAUUAGAGUUUAGAUUUCUUGGAAAUGUGGGGUCACUUCUACUUUAUUUGAAUGGGCUCUGUUAGACCAAGUGAAGCCACAAAUAGGACCCACGAUCCCACCUUUUCCACACCUUCUUUUUUAAGCACAACUUAUCAAGAGAGGAGCCAUGAUGAGGUCACAAGGUCAGUGCAAGGACACGGCAGGAGGCCUUGCUUUCCUCUCCUCCUUUCCUCUCCUUCUUUCCUCUCCUCCUCCUCCUUUCCUCUCCUUCUCCUCCUUUCCUCUCCUUCUCCUCCUUUCCUCCUCCUCCUUUCCCCUCCUCCUCCUUUCCUCUCCUCCUUCUCAUUUCCUCUCUUCCUUCUCCUUUCCUCUCCUCCUUUUCUCCCCUCCUUUCCUCUCCUCCUCCUCCUUUCCUCUCCUCCCCCCUUUCCUCUCCUCCUUCUCAUUUCCUCUCCUCCUUUCCUCUCCUCUGCUCCUCCUUUCCUCUCCUCCUUCUCCUUUCCUCUCCUCCUUUCCUCUCCUUCUCCUUUCCUCGCCUCUCCUCCUCCUUUCCUCUCCUCCUUCUCCUUUCCUUCUCCUUUCCUCUCCUCCUCCUUUCCUCUCCUCCUCAUUUCCUCUCCUCCUUUCCUCUCCUCCUUUCCUCUCCUCUCCUCCUCCUUUCCUUUCCUCUCCUCCUUCUCCUGUCCUCUCCUCCUUCUCCUUUCCUCUCCUCCUUCUCAUUUCCUCUCCGCCUUUCCUCUCCUCUCCUCCUCCUUUCCUCUACUCCUUCUCCUUUCCUCUCCUUUCCUCUCCUCCUCCUCCUUUCCUCUCUUCCUUUCCUUUCCUUUCCUCUACUCC
rnacentral:lncRNA from 1 species